CACGGGGAGGUAGUGACGAAAAAUAACGAUACGGGACUCAUCCGAGGCCCCGUAAUCGGAAUGAGUACACUCUAAAUCCUUUUGCAAGGACCAAUUGAAGGGCAAGUCUGGUGCCAGCAGCCGCGGUAAUUCCAGCUUCAAUAGCGUAUAUUAAAGUUGUUGCGGUUAAAAAGCUCGUAGUCGAAUUUGUGUCCCGCGCCGCUGGUUCAUCGCUCGCGGUGUUCAACUGGCGUGUUUCGCGGGACGUCCUGCCGGUGGGCUCUUCGGAUUGAUUGCUUCGGCGGUCGUUCGUGGCCCAACUCGUAUCCGUAUAACGCGGGUGCGAAUCCCAUCGCGGUGCUCUUUAUUGAGUGUCGAGGUGGGCCGGCACGUUUACUUUGAACAAAUUAGAGUGCUUAAAGCAGGCCAAUUUUGCCUGAAUAUUGUGUGCAUGGAAUAAUAGAAUAGGACCUCGUUUCUAUUUUGUUGGUUUUCGGAACCACGAGGUAAUGAUUAAUAGGAACGGAUGGGGGCAUUCGUAUUGCGACGUUAGAGGUGAAAUUCUUGGAUCGUCGCAAGACGGACAGAAGCGAAAGCAUUUGCCAAAAACGUUUUCAUUGAUCAAGAACGAAAGUUAGAGGUUCGAAGGCGAUCAGAUACCGCCCUAGUUCUAACCAUAAACGAUGCCAGCUAGCGAUCCGCCGACGUUCCUCCGAUGACUCGGCGGGCAGCUUCCGGGAAACCAAAGCUUUUGGGUUCCGGGGGAAGUAUGGUUGCAAAGCUGAAACUUAAAGGAAUUGACGGAAGGGCACCACCAGGAGUGGAGCCUGCGGCUUAAUUUGACUCAACACGGGGAAAUUUACCAGGCCC
rnacentral:rRNA from 1 species